GGCGCUUCCUUGGUGCUCCCAUGUGGUGCUGAGGGUCAAUCAGAGUCUCAUGCCUGCUAAGAUGUGCACUUGAUCUGCUGGGCCACCUCCUGGGCCCACUUCUCUUUUCAUUCUGCUUCUACCUGUCACUUCACUUCCCUCCUGAGAACACUGAACCCACCUGACAGUCCAGGAUAAUUGCCUCAUCCCAGCCUGAGUCAUUUCCUGGUACUGCAGGACACAGCAUCCCACAUGCCAUAAGUGGGUGAGAGAAAGUAGUGAGGCUGUGAUAGCAGGGCCUAUGGACAAAGGAGUCCUUGGAGCAUUGCUGAGCAGGCACAGCUGCUCUGAAGCCUGUGAGCCACAACCCAGAACUGCAGCUCUAACCCCACCCAGGCAAUCAGCCUUGAUUGAGAAUCCUCACGUGGACGCGGGCAGAAGACACUGCUCUCAGCGGCGGAAGCUGCUGUCUGUCCUUUCCCUGGAAGACCAGGAAACUGCUGGCAGUCAGGGCACCAACUGAAGAAUGAGAGUUUGGAAAAGGCAUCAGGGCAGACACUCGUUGAGGAAGAAAGCAUGAUGGGAUAGUGAGGGGGAGACAUCACAGCACCACUCCACCAUCUAUGGAGCUCCUCCACUGCCAUCCAUAAUGCUUCCAGGUGGUUCCAGGUCUUGAACACAGGAUCCCCAGGACCUUAUGUAAGGUAAGCUAUUGAUUCUAGCAGGAGAUCUAUCCCUUGGUCAUGUGGGCCAUUUUAUUUUACUUUAUUUAUUUUUUUGAAGAAUUUUUUUUUUUUUUUUGCCUCUAGGGUUAUUGCUGGGGCUUGGUGCCUGCACUAUGAAUCCACUGCUCCUGAAGGCCAUUUUUCCUCAUUUUGUUGCCCUUGUUGUUGUUAUUGUCAUUGUUGUUAUAGCUAUUGUUGUUGUUGAGUAAGAGAGAAAAUGAGAGAGAGAGAAGACAGAGAGGGGGAGAG